CCUGGGCUGGGAUCCAUGUCGUUUUUACAACAAUUCAGCAAGAAACAUGUCAUUCAACCCAUUCACCGAGGAGGAAACUGAAGUUCAGAGAGGAGGAGUGAUUCGGCCCCAAAUUCCAAAGUGGUGGAAGUGGAUUUGGGCUCAGCUUCCCUAGUGUCUUAGCUAAUCUCCCAUCUACCUGUCCAUUCCUGGGACAGACAGGGGUAUAUGUCAGACCCAUUCUUCAAGAUCAGAUGACCUGUUAAGUCCAAGGACUCAUCUGAAACAUCAGUCGCUCUCUGGCCCAGAGAGAUGGUGUUAUUUGCCAAGGUCACACAGCAGGUGGCCAAGAUGGAGCCAAGCCAUUUUCCCUACUGCAACGAUGAAGAAGCCAGCUCAGGAAAGCUGAAGGAUAAAUAAGAGAAAUGAUAUUUAACGCAGAUCAAGUUCAAAAUCUAUGCCACCUCCAUGGAAAUAUAAUUCUGCUUCCUACUUCUUGGAAAGGAGGCAGUUUCCACAAAAUCACGUCUUGGCUCACGCAGGAACAUUUGUCUGUAUUUUGUCAUGGGCCUUCUAAAAGAGGCUGCUUCCCACCUAUUUGCCUUCUGUGACAUCUCCCAUUAGGUCUUAGCUGGCUCAAAACAGGACCCCUGUAUACCUUUACCCUCACCAAGUGAGCUGGAGAACUUCAGACACAGCCAAGGUGUCCAAGCAUCACAGGUUCUGAGGUUUUGCAUGAAGAAGCCUAUGAGUGUGCGAAUCUGGAUACAAAUCCAGGCUCCACCAUCACUCCGUUGUAACAGCAACCCAACGGGAACGCAAGUAUGGGAACCACACUGCGCAGAUUCAAGAUUAGCAUCUUGCUGGUGCACAAGGCCCAGUCUCUGCCAGAAUGGCUCAUAUGAUCUAAGAGUCCAAAUCCUAAAUGAGAAGGCCAUAUUUUGGCCAUAUUCUCUAGCCCAAUUUUCACCAAUGGAAAUAGGAACCAGGAUCAGUCCACUUAGAUGUACUGACUGCAUCAUUCAGUCCGCACCACAAGGGGGCGAUCUUAUCCCCAGCCUACGGGUAAGGAAUUUGGCUGGGAAGGGCUGAAUGACCUGCUCAAGGUCACACAUCUAGAAAGAGGCACCUUCAGGACUUGAAUGAGAUGACUUUAGUAUCAAUACCUGGGCUCCAAAUCACCAUGCUGUCUUGACCCUCCUCAACAAACCCUUCGCUCGACAAAUGGGGAUGUUAAGGCCCAGAAAGGCAAAGAAAGCUCCCCAAGGUCACACGGUCAAUUGGCAACAUAGCUGAGGCUGGCUAAGAGAAAAGAAUCAUUUCUUGCUGGAUUCUUGGGAGACCCAUACAGGAAUAAGGUGUGAGGGGACAGGGAGGAAGAUUAGAGCAAAACAAGAGAGUUGAAGUGAGGGAGUUAGAAGGAGAACCUGGAUACCCGAGAAGACCCCAGCUCCAAUGUAGCCCACCCUGGCAGCCCAGGUGAUGGUGAGGGAUGCAACUCACUUCUUCUGCUUCUUCUCCAGCUCAUGGUUUCGACUUUGUUGGUUCUCUAGCAGGACGCGGGUGUCCUCCAGGUCACAGGUAAGAUGGUGGCACUUCCUCUUCAGUUGGUGAGCCAUCUUCUUGGCCCCAUCAUAAGCACUUUGCAGCUCCCCGAGCUGUAAGAGUAAUAGAAUGAAUUACCUGGCUCUGUGGGCAUGGAAUGCGCUUUUUACUUUGUAUUUCAAGGAGUUGCUAUUUCCAAGGUGUGUAAUGAGAAAACAGCAGAUGCUGGAAUGGGGAGACCCUGUCUUGACUACCUUCCUCCUGGGCCACCUCCAGGAUGCUACUUUUCUGAGCCUUAGUUUGCUCAGAGGUAAAGUGGGGAUAAUUCCAUCACUCUCUUAAGGUUGAUUUUACUUUAAAUCUCCAGCCAAUGCUCCCACAGACUUUACCUACCCUGCCUCAACUUGAUGACCCCCUGAGCCACCAGAUAACUCAUAUCCCCACCAGCCGACACGAUCGGAAGGGAUAUGUGAGGAUUAGCCACAGAGCAGCCAAAAUGACACACCUAAAAAAUCUGACCUGGAAUCCCAAGUGACAAGCCUUAAAGGUUAAAGCAGCAAAUGGUACUUUGCAUGGACUGAAUUAACACCUGAAUGCACACGGCCUUAAACAAACAAACAUAAAGACUCUUGCAUCUUCCUCCAGGAAACACUCUCCCAAAUGUCCUAGUUUAGGUCUGGGAAAGAGCAGAGCAUGCAACUCAGCACACUGGCUUUGAAGAAAUGGCCUCAUUACAGAAUUGCUUUAAAUAAGCAAAACUCUGAGUUAAUGAAGCCUGUAAUUCUAAAUCCAGUAUUUGAAGGCAAAUGGGAUGUUUUCUUAUAUUCUGCCGCUCAGAAAAGGUUGCAGUUUUAUUACUUUUUAAUGUAUCAUAAAUAUCCCCCUUCCCUAGGGAAACUGACUCAACUUUGUAAUUUGUUAUUAAAGAACUGGGCUGCUUUCCUGCAGUUGUCCAUCUGUGUUUAUCUAUGGUUCAAGUGUCUCUUGAGGACCACGAUGCAAUGUUCAUCUUGAAAGUGACCACUAAAACCAUCACCACCAGCAUAAAGGAUACCAAGAGUCACUUCCAUUGUUUAUAAAAUCCCAUGUGAUCUCACCCAGGCCCACCUCUGCAAGGCAAUCACAUGAUACUUUUUGCUCACGUUGAGAAUAGAAUAGAUACACAAAUAUAACCUCCACCCUAUGGCUCUUAUAUCGAAUGGGAGAGACUAUGAAGUGCGUAGGCAAUUACAGUACAGCAUGAUGAGGCCUAUGUUUUGGGAGACAACUCAGGGACUCCCAACUCAAUCUGCGUCAGCAAAGACUUUCUGGAGAGAGUGACAUUUAAGCUAAGAUCUUAAGAAUAGUUGGAGAUAUCUAGGCAGGAGAGAAAAAGAAAGAUUGCUCUGGGAAGAAGAAAUAGCAUAUGCAAAGUCCCAGAGGUGAGAAAGAAUCAGACAUUUUUGGAAGGAGAAAAAAAAACGGAGUGUGGCUGGAAUCAAUGCUGUGCUGGAGUCGGCUGGUACCAAUUUGAAAGAGAUGCACAGAGCCAAUUCUGUGCAUCCCUUUCAAAUUCCAUGUUAGUGACAUCACAAUGGUAGUUUGAAAUUGGCCAUGCUGGGAGUAUUUACACCAGGGAAAUUGGCAAGUGCUACAAAUCAGGGCUUUUUCUUUUUUCCGGAGUCAUUUACUAGCACACAAUUUGUUAGAGUGUGAACUGGUUAGAAUGUAGAUGAGGGAUAGUUGGAGGCCAAAGAAGACAAGCAAAGAGACUAAACUAUCUGUACAUUCAUCUAGAAAGGCUAGAUAAGAUUAUAUAUAUAGAUAAGAUUGCAUUAGAUUUGUAAUGUCACCUUCAAGAAAGAAGGACAUUUCAGGAUAUCAGAAAUGCAGAGGAUGCAAAGCCCUAACAAUAAUGGUGCAUACUAAUAUUAUGGCGGCGAAGAUGAAGGGGAAGAACAGUUGAUAGAUCCAGAAAUGUCCUUUAGGAUAGAGGUUUGUGUUUCAAUGUCUAGACAGAGACAGAAGACAAGGCUCUGGGCUCAUGGAAGGUGAAGAGUUGGAAUGAAGACCGUUGCACUGAUAAACCCCUCAAAGAACUGCAUGCACCUCAGUGAGAAGAGAAAAUAAAAGCUCCACAUCCUGGCCUGGAAGGUGGUAAGAAAGCUUGCUUUCACCCUGGAUCUAGGUGGGGGAAGAAGUACUCUCAUAAGAAUUUUAAACCCCAGGUCUAAGCCUCAUGUGGGUUUAGAGAUCCAACUGACAAUUUUUACACGCUGCAAAAAAUCUGAGACCAAGAAUUUAGCAUGAUCUCAGGGACUGCUGCCAAAGAAAGUGAAAAAGGGUUUCUUCUAGCAGAACACACCCACGACCCUGUUAUCAAAGGGCUCCCAUCAAAAUCAAUAGAAUGUUAAAAAAAAUUAAAUCUCCUGCUGAAGAUUAACUCACGAUAAAAAAUAGCUAAACACACACACAAAAAUUCACUGGGAGAGAAACAAAAAAAAAAACAUUCCACAAUGCAGAACACCUGGGACUACUGCGGGAGGAGCAGAGAAACCUGUUGAAGAUGAGCUCAAAAACAAAAUUUACAAAACAUGCAAGGAAAAAAAUCCACCAUGAGAGUCAGCAUGCUUUAUGAUCACAGAACAAUCUGAAAGAGACUCUGAAACAUUCCUUGGCUGCAGUGUGGCAGGUGGUUGAGAGGAGAGGCCAGAGGCAAGGAGGACAGCUAGGAGGUUGUUGCUUUGGUCUGGAUGAGAGAUGAAGGUAGCAGAUUAGAACAGAGGCAACAGGGAAACGUGACAGUUUUAAGACCACUGAUAAUUAUGUAAUAGAUAAGAAACAUGAGUUAAAGUGACUUCCACAGGGUUCAUGUAGAAAUGGAACUGGAACUCAGAUAUCCUGAGUUAAUAUCCAUGUUCUUUACACCACAGAGCAGUCUCUGGAUAGAAGAUCCACAUGUACAGACAAUAUUUUUCAUGUCUCCCAGUGACCAGCAUUUGUAAUAACAGUGGAGAUGGAGAAACCUGAAGUGGCCGGUAUCCUCUUCCUCCCUCCCCAGGGUCAGCUAAUACCUCGAUCACCCACAGUAGAGGUGAGAGCUUGCCCACUCUCUGACACUUCUGUGGCCCAGACUAUCCCCACAUCUUACCUUUUGCUCCAGCUCUUUCCUGGCUGUCAGCUCUGAGUCCAGCCUCUCCUCGCAUUGCUGCAGACGCUUUCUGAGGAACUCGUUCUCCAUCUGAGCACAGUCGAAGCGCAUUUGCCACUCGUCUGCUGUUUAACAGAGUCAGGGAGACCAUGAUAAGAGGCCAAAUGAGUGUAAGGCAAGAGUGAGAGUGGCUCUCCUCCACUUUCUUGGCUUUUGGCAUGCAAUUUCACAAUAUUCACAGAGCCCCUGAGCUUCAACCUUGGACCAAGAAACUAUGCUUUAACUCUGAGUUUUAAAUAAUGCUUCCUUCAGGCAGCCUGUCCUGACCACCUCCAACUGUCUAAAGUUCUUGACUGCUCACUCUUCUAAGGUUGGUUGCCUUAUACUGUUUAGUUGUCUCUAUAAGUACAUUCAUAUCUUCCCUUUUCCAAGGAAAUUUCAUAAUCCUUAAGGGCAAGGGAGCUGUUUCAGUCAUCUGUGAGUCCUUCACACCCUCUGGAAGAGUUCCCUACAAGCAGAUUCCCAUACAUGUUGAUACAAGCUCAUGGAUUGCUUAAUGAACCUAAUACAAUAAUCAGGUAAAAAGAGUCAUCCUACUAGCCAAAUUUAUUGGGUUGUACAGAGUAUAUAAUCAUUGGCUGUUGGUCCAAUUAACAAAUAAGUAAAUUAGCAAUAAUUCAAGACUACUAAACUGGUCAGAAGAUGUCUCCACAAGAUAAGAUGGACACCAAAUCCUUCGAUUUGGUAAACAUCUCAAAAAAAUUAUUGGCUGGUUUGAUUAAAACUGUUAGACUGAUUAGAAUGGGUUAUUUUAGGUUGAUACAUCUUAUCUUUUGACUAUCUGCAUAAUAGAAUAAUGCCCAUUAAGUUAAUGAAGCUGUGGAAAACAUUCCACAAGUGGAUGACCAAAGAUAAAGACCAUCCACUUAUUCACCUAUCAUCCAUCCAUCUGUCCUUCCAUCCAUCCAUUCACACACUCAUUGAGCACACUACUUUGUACAAGAUGCAAGGGAUAGUGAAAUGAAUAAGAAGCCAUAUCCACCUACCUUCCAGAAUAAUCAAGCAGGGGAAACAAGUAAAAAGACAGCUGAAACCUAGUAUGAUCAGGGCUUUCAUAAAGAAGCUUAUAGAAAUCAAGAAGAGAACUCAAAUUAAUAAGACAACAAACUUGUUUUGUUCAUCAUUGUGUUCCCAGAGUAUACUAUAAUGCCUAGCAUUUGGUAAAUGCUCGACAACUUCCACUGGAAAGGUGGAUAAUUGAAUGGAUAGGAUGUUUGACUAGAUGAUAGGGUGGAGGAUUAAUGGAUAAAUAGUUGGUUGUGUAGGUGGAAUAGUGGAUGGAUGGAUGGAUGUUACUGUAGACAGAGAAGUGGGUGCAUGAGUGGAUGAAUGCAUGGAUUGAGAGAUAAAUAAAUGGUAGGGUAUAUGGAUAGGUGGGUGAGUAGAUGGGCAGAUGGGUAG